rnacentral:tRNA from 1 species
CCCACCGUGCAUUGCUCACUCAUCGCGACAACCUUGAG